GAGUUUGAUCUUGGCUCAGGACAAACGCUGGCGGCGUGCAUAAAACAUGCAAGUCGGACGAGCCAAUUCCCGCAAGGGGAAAGGCUAGUGGCGAACGGCUGAGUAACACGUAGGUGACCUGCCCUGAAGUGGGGGAUAACGACUCGAAAGAGUCGCUAAUACCGCAUGUGACCACCGAUUCGUUUUCGGUGCUCAAAGUCGUAAGACGCUUUAGGAGGGGCCUGCGGCGGAUUAGCUAGUUGGUGAGGUAAUGGCCCACCAAGGCUUCGAUCCGUAGCUGGUCUGAGAGGAUGACCAGCCAGACUGGGACUGAGACACGGCCCAGACUCCUACGGGAGGCAGCAGUUAGGAAUUUUGCGCAAUGGGGGGAAACCCUGACGCAGCCACUCCGCGUGCGGGAUGAAGGCCUUCGGUCGUAACCGACCUUUCUCGAGGAGACACCCGACGGUACUCGAGGCAUAAGCAACGGCUAACUACGUGCCAGCCGCCGCGGU
rnacentral:rRNA from 1 species